AGGGACAGCAGCAGCCGCGGUAAUACAGAGGGUGCGAGCGUUAAUCGGAUUUACUGGGCGUAAAGCGUGCGUAGGCGGCUUUUUAAGUCGGAUGUGAAAUCCCUGAGCUUAACUUAGGAAUUGCAUUCGAUACUGGGAAGCUAGAGUAUGGGAGAGGAUGGUAGAAUUCCAGGUGUAGCGGUGAAAUGCGUAGAGAUCUGGAGGAAUACCGAUGGCGAAGGCAGCCAUCUGGCCUAAUACUGACGCUGAGGUACGAAAGCAUGGGGAGCAAACAGGAUUAGAUACCCCAGUAGUCCCUGUCUCUUAUAC
rnacentral:rRNA from 1 species